rnacentral:snRNA from 1 species
GUGCUUGCUUUGGCAGCACAUAUACUAAAAUUGGAAUGAUACAGUGAAGAUUAGCAUGGCCCCGGUGCAAGGAUGACAUGCAAAUUUGUGAAGCGUUCCAUAUUUUU